ACUGGUUACUGCACCCCUUAUGUGCGAAGGAGAUACCAUUUGGUCCAAAGUUCAUCAACUAAAACAAUCUCCUUCAUGUUCACUUUAAUUAUAUACUUAACUAUACAAAUGGCAAAACAUGACAACAGAGUAAUAAGACAUGUUGUAAUUUACAUGUGUACCAACCCAAUGAAUUUGUCCACACAGCUACAGCUAUCAGUGAAUAGAUCACAUUCAUACAAGUAUUAAUUGGGUGACCUACUCCAGUUUUUUAAUCAAUU